rnacentral:rRNA from 1 species
UACGUAGGGCGCAAGCGUUGUCCGGAAUUAUUGGGCGUAAAGAGCUCGUAGGCGGUCUGUCGCGUCGGCUGUGAAAACCCGGGGCUCAACCCCGGGCCUGCAGUCGAUACGGGCAGACUAGAGUGUGGUAGGGGAGACUGGAAUUCCUGGUGUAGCGGUGGAAUGCGCAGAUAUCAGGAGGAACACCGGUGGCGAAGGCGGGUCUCUGGGCCAUAACUGACGCUGAGGAGCGAAAGCGUGGGGAGCGAACAAG